rnacentral:rRNA from 1 species
UACGAAGGGGGCUAGCGUUGCUCGGAAUCACUGGGCGUAAAGGGUGCGUAGGCGGGGCUUUAAGUCAGGGGUGAAAUCCUGGAGCUCAACUCCAGAACUGCCUUUGAUACUGUAGAUCUUGAGUUCGGGAGAGGUGAGUGGAACUGCGAGUGUAGAGGUGAAAUUCGUAGAUAUUCGCAAGAACACCAGUGGCGAAGGCGGCUCACUGGCCCGAUACUGACGCUGAGGCACGAAAGCGUGGGGAGCAAACAGG